GAUGAACGCUAGCGGUGCGCCUAACACAUGCAAGUCGAGCGCCCUCACUUAGUCUUUGAUUCGUUCAAAGGUUGGGUGAGGGAGCGGCGAACGGGUGAGUAACACGUUGGAACCUGCCUCGGACUCAGGGAUAGCCCACCGAAAGGUGGAUUAAUACCGGAUAGUCCCGGAAGGGUAAAGAUUUUUCGGUUCGAGAGGGGCCUGCGGCCUAUCAGCUUGUUGGUAAGGUAAGAGCUUACCAAGGCUAUGACGGGUAUCUGGUGUGAGAGCAUGACCAGACAUAAUGGAACUGAGACACGGUCCAU
rnacentral:rRNA from 1 species